AACCUGCCGCAGUCUUCUCUGCCCGGCCCUGCUAUCAGCAAAGGGACAUGGGCUCCGCCUCGUGAGGGAGGAGAGUCAAAAUGUUUUCAUCCUUUACAAAAUAAAGGAUGUUUCUCCUUGUUUCUCUUUGUGUAGCAAGAAAGAGUGAGCACAGUCCCCCCAGUCCCCGGGCCUCGGGGGAAGGAGCCCGGGCAGGACCUGAGCCUCCUGCCAUGGCCAGUGCAAGCAUCCAGCCACGUGAUCCGCCCCCCCCAUGCUCGGGGCACCCCUCACUGCACCCUGUGGGGUGUAACGAAACGCUGGUGAAGAAGCUUACUCAUCCCCACACCCCAGGCCAAAUCUCCAAAUGGAUGGACAGAGACCCGGACCUCCAUGCACGUGAAACCCAAAGAAUCCCUCAUCUCAGGGAACAUGAAAGAUGGGGCAUCAUCGAGAGUUUCCUCAACCUGUGCAGACGUUUCGUUCUGGAGCAGGCCAGGGCGGGCCAGCCUCACUCAGGGCGGCACUGGGCCCCCCUGCGGCACCCAGCCCAGAGCCGAGCUGCCCGCUGCCCGCGUCAGUAGUCCGAGCCCUCGGGAUGCUGAGAACACGCCUAAGGAAGAAGCGGCAGCCCAAGGGGAAGCUGGAGUUCAGCACUUUCAGUGCCCGCCCUGAAGCCACAAUGAAGGGAAGCACAGCCCGGCUUCAACAUUAAACCAAGGCGUCGCCAGUGGCCACUGGGCCUGUGGUGCUGAAGGGUGGGCACUUGGCGCCUUCCUCUCGGAAGUGGGGGCUCCCAGGAUCUGAGGUCAACGGGUGAUAGGAUCUCUGUCUUCUGGAAGCUUCAAUUCUCCCUGGGAUGAGACAGACGCCUGCAUGGCAAAUCGCUGGAAAUGGGAACAGCAGUGCGCAGCUCUGAGGAGCUUUGAGGGGCGCAGGCUUGAGGAGCGAAACGGCCUGGCCAGCACGCAGAAGGCCCCUCGGCCCACCUGAGACCAGUCCUCUUCCUGGAGGUGACAUCAAGGUGCCUAAAUACUGGGGGCUCCCGCCCACAGCCCCCACCUGUUAGAGGGGCAGGAUUAGUGCCCGUGUCCUCAGACUCCGGAGAGCAGGUGGUGGCAGGGGAAUGACAGUGGCAUAUGAAGAGGCCGGAGGCAGCUGCAGCUCUUGGGACAGCCCUGCAAUGGCUUCUGGGAGUGCAGGUCUCCGGAAGGGGUGCCAGGUUGUGGCCUUGGACCCCUCCUCUAAAUGGACCAUCCUGGGGAUCCCUGGGUGGCGCAGCGGUUUGGCGCCUGCCUUUGGCCCAGGGCGCGAUCCUGGAGACCCGGGAUCGAAUCCCACAUCGGGCUGCCGGUGCAUGGAGCCUGCUUCUCCC